CCAUUGAUAUUGUUGUUAAGGCUGUCUGAAUUUGACCAUAUCGGGAUACACACACUAUCAAUAUUUUCUUUAUUGUUAUCUUGUUUAUCCAUUUCAAGAGUCUUGAAGAAAGCCUGCUUGUGCAUUGAAGUCGCCAAGCAAGUACAAUGAUAUUGAGAAGCUAACUGUUCAUCCUGACCUUAUACCGAGGGACAGUAGGGGAAGGCGGGUGUCAAAACAUAUAAAUACGGAUGAGCGGAUCAACAUUGCACUUCAAACUCAGGAGACUACAACCCGUGUAACAAGUUGGCGUAGAUCUGUUCCUGUUUACUUUCGAGACCGAUAUCAAUAAUGAAGUACGCUACAAUCGCUCUCUGUUUGUUCGUGAUUCUGGCGCUUGGUGUCUACCAAACUGCUUGUCAGCCUCCUUACCCGUCUCCCGCUCCAAGUCCCGGCAUGCAAGCGGAAAUAAACCAAGAUAUCGACGAGGCAGCC